GGUUGACUGGUCUAACGGUUAGGACGGUGUCCCCCAGUGACUCAAGACUGGGUUCAAUUCCCAGGUUAACUA